GUGUCGUGCCCGUGCCCGUGCCCGUGCCCGUGCCCGGUGAGCCCGCGCCAUGGCGGACAUGGAGGACUUGUUCGGGAGCGAUGUCGAUUCCGAGCCCGAGCAGAAAGAUUCUGACUCUGGAUCUGACUCUGACUCUGAUCAGGAGAAUGCUGGCUCUGGCAGUAAUGUUUCUGGAAGUGAGAGUGACAGAGAUGAUGACAGAGAGGCAAUAAAGCCCAGUAACAAAGAGUUAUUUGGAGAUGAUAGUGAGGAUGAGGGAGCAUCCCACCAUACCGGGAGUGACAUCCGAUCUGAAAGAUCAUACAAUCACUCUGAAGCUUCAGGACAUUCUGAACAUGAAGAUAAUGACCAGUCAGAUAUAGAUCAGCAUAGUGGUUCAGAAGCUGCUGAUGACGAUGAUGACAGAGGACCCGGAUCAGAUGAAGGUAGCCGUCACUCAGAUGCAGAUGGAUCUGAAAAAGCACAUUCGGAGGAUGAAAAAUGGGGCAAAGAGGACAAAAGUGAUCAGUCAGAUGAUGAUGAUGAUAAACUGCAGAAUUCUGAUGAUGAGGAAAGGCCGCAAAACUCUGAUGAUGAAGAGAAGGUUCAGAACUCUGAUGAUGAUGAAAGGCCUCCGAUUUCUGAUGAUGAGGAAAGGCUACAAAACUCCGAUGAGGAGAAAAUGCAGAACUCAGAUGAUGAAGAAAGGCCUCAGAUCUCUGAUGAGGAGAAGAUGCAGAACUCUGAUGAUGAUGAAAGGGCCCAGCAUUCUGAUGAGGAGAAGAUGCAGAACUCUGAUGAUGAUGAAAGGGCCCAGCAUUCUGAUGAGGAGAAGAUGCAGAAUUCUGAUGAUGAUGAAAGGGCCCAGCAUUCUGAUGAAGAUCACAGACAUUCAGAUGAUGAAGAGGAACAGGAGCAUAAAUCUGAGUCUGCAAGAGGCAGUGACAGUGAAGAUGAAAUUUUGCGAAUGAAACGUAAAAAACCAAUUGCAUCAGAUUCAGAAAUGGACAGCGAUGCAGAAGGACAAAAAGAUCACAGGGAUGCGAUAGAUCUGUUUGGAGGUGCAGAUGACAUUUCUUCAGGGAGUGAUGGGGAAGACAAGCCACCAACUCCAGGGCAACCUAUUGAUGAGAAUGGACUGAAUCAGGAGCAGCAGGAAGAAGAACCUAUUCCAGAAACACGAAUAGAAGUAGAGAUACCAAAAGUAAACACUGACUUAGGAAAUGACUUGUAUUUUGUGAAGCUGCCCAACUUCCUCAGCGUGGAGCCCAGACCUUUUGAUCCUCAGUAUUAUGAGGAUGAAUUUGAAGAUGAGGAGAUGCUUGAUGAAGAAGGUAGAACAAGGUUAAAACUAAAGGUGGAAAACACCAUACGUUGGCGAAUGCGACGAGAUGAAGAGGGAAAUGAGAUUCGAGAAAGCAAUGCACGGAUAGUCAAGUGGUCAGAUGGAAGCAUGUCGCUGCAUUUGGGCAAUGAAGUCUUUGAUGUGUACAAGGCACCAUUACAGGGAGAUCACAACCAUCUGUUUAUCAGACAAGGAACUGGUCUGCAGGGACAGGCUGUGUUCAAGACUAAAUUAACCUUCAGGCCUCACUCUACGGACAGUGCCACCCACAGGAAGAUGACCUUGUCUCUUGCAGAUAGAUGUUCAAAGACCCAAAAAAUUCGUAUCUUGCCCAUGGCUGGUCGUGAUCCAGAGUCUCAGCGCACAGAAAUGAUUAAGAAAGAAGAGGAGAGGUUAAGAGCUUCUAUUCGCAGAGAAUCCCAGCAACGGAGAAUGCGGGAGAAGCAGCACCAGCGUGGUCUGAGUGCAAAUUAUUUAGAACCUGAUCGUUAUGAUGAGGAGGAUGAAGGAGAAGAGGCAAUCAGUCUGGCAGCUAUUAAAAACCGCUAUAAAGGUGGUAUAAGAGAGGAACGUGCUAGAAUCUAUUCUUCAGACAGUGAUGAGGGAUCAGAUGAAGAUAGAACGCAGAGACUACUCAAGGCAAAGAAACUAACCAGUGAUGAGGAAGGUGAACCUUCUGGAAAGAGGAAAGCAGAGGAUGAUGACAAAGCAAGUAAAAAGCACAAGAAAUAUGUGAUCAGUGAUGAAGAGGAAGAUGAUGAUUAAAAUUGGGGAAAGCUGAUGACUUUUUAUAUAUAUAUAUUGUACAGUUCUUUUACAGCAAAGAUUGAGAGAAGACCCAAACAGCAAGGUCAUAGGUCAAACCAGCACAUAGAAUGCACCUGGAAACUACUACAGACUAUGAAGCACAGGUGUAGCAUAUCCUUUGCAGUAACUAAGUAAGCAAGUUGUCUCCUUCUGCAUAGUGGUUUUCAGUGGUGGCCCUCCAUCAGGCAUGUUGCUGCAAUCCAGUCUUGAGGCAUGAAUUAAUUAUGGGAAAGUAAAAAAUCUGAAAUAAACUAUUCCAUCCAAAUUCA